AUGUGACUUGCCGUAGUCAGAAAGAAUUUUGUCAUGAAAUUGAACAUGCCAGUCUUAUCUUUUCACACAAAUAAAGAGGCUGUUUGCAUAGUCUCAAAGUGAUCGCCAGUCCCGUGGAGGGAAGGUCUUUAAGCUUGUGAUCAGUUUGAUCCCGGAUUUGUGUGUGGGAAGAGUGAACAGCAGCCAGGAGGAGCCAAGGUUACCUGGACAACAGGAAAGGGUAAAUGUGGGUUGCUGAGGAAGGAAAGCUGCUGCUCCAGACUGCAGACGCGGAAUGCCAGGUAGCACGAGGACAGGAUGAGGAGAAUGAUCCUGCCGACACAACCAAAUGGAAAUAGGAAAUCCAUAAAAAGUGCCUUGAAGUUCAGCCCUGCCUGUCCGUCACCUUCUCUCCCACGGGUAAAAAAGAUGAGUGCGACCCCUGACCCCGAGCCACAGUUUUUUGGAACUGGAGGUGAACGAGAGAAAAGUACAAAAUAAGCGCUAUGACAACAAAUGGCCUGCAGCUGUAACCCAGAAGCACACGCAGGAUACAGAUGGUGCGUUUGGGAAAACAUGAAACAGCAAGUGUGUGUGAAGGCGUGAGAGAAAUGUACUUGCCUGAGGUGGCCGUGCGCCUCCUCGUCCUUGGAGGAAUCCAGGUCCUGUGUGGAGAGCAGGCCUGUUUCUUCAGCGUGCUCCUGCUGCUCGGUCAUGCUCCUGGCCCUGAACACACAAACACACAGCUGAGUGCACAGUGGCCUCCUCUCUGCGCCGCCGUCAUCUACGCUUUCCCAUGUUUGCGUUUUGUCUGCUUCAGAGUCCCCAUCGAAAAGUUGGACGGGGGCAAACAAGUGGACUCUGUCUUUAACACAAACACGGUGGUGAUGUAAGGUCGGAUGGCAAGGCUCUAUUCGGCAGAACAACACCGGGUAUAAUGUUGUUAUACCCCCUGUCGCAAUUUUUCCAAAGAUUUAAAUGUCUUCA